AUGAUUGGAGGGAGUAACUCUCAUUCUUUUGUUUAUAAUGAGCAACAAAAAAAAAAUCUUCUUUUUGUCGCUUUGCGUGGAUCGAAUUCGGACUUGAAGUUACAGGAUAGAUGCAUCUUGUCUGAAUGUUGUCAAUUUUUAUCAGUACUCUGGUUACUCUUUGGACCACCAGAUGCAGAUCUGAUGUAUCACGCCCAAAGGGGUGAUUCAUACAAAUUGCUCCCCACAUCUUCAUGUUUCAUACUUGGUUUUGUAUCAUCUCAUGUGUGCUUGAUAGUUGCAACUAUCCAUGACUGCAACAACUUGUAUUUAAGUAAUUGUUUUCAUCAUAUGUGUUAA
rnacentral:rRNA from 1 species